rnacentral:tRNA from 1 species
GGUGUGUAGCUCAGUGGUAGAGCGGCUGACUGCAGAUCAGCAGGUCCUCGGUUCAAAUCCGGGCGCGCCCUUACUUCA